UUCUGUCCAUCUUAGCUAUUUUCCUCAUGGACAAUUGUUCGAGUCUCAGGACAUACUUGAUAAGAGUAAUAUACAUAUCUUAGAACUAAGGUGUGAGAUUUGUAGGAACAUUAUGUUUUGCUUUCGCCAAUCAUGGUAGACUCAUCUUGAAGUUUGCCAUAUUUGUUUUCCUUAAGAUGAAUUGUUGCUUUCUGAUUUUGUGCCACCUGUUGUUUUAUCUACACUGUUGACACAAAACUUGUGAGACAUACUUUUCCAGAGUCUGAUAUCUUGCGGUGUCAGCUUGUGGAAAAUUUCAAUCUUUAAGAGUGGAAAUCUACAAUUAAUUACAUUAAUUACAGCUGUUCUAUUUUGUGGCUCUUAGAGGUUCCACUGAAACAUCCGACCCUUUCAUCUAGCCUUUGUGGACUGAGAAAGUUAUCUACCCGGUUAUAACCAAUUAUGCCAUUUGAAUUUUGAAUACAUUGAGACGCUCAUCAAUUGAUCUUGAUUUUGAUAUUUCUAAGCUCAUCACAUGUUAACUAGUGGGUUUUGUUCAUAAAAUAGUUUGUAUACCUUUUAGUGGACCUGAACUAUUAAGAAAGUGAGCGUCAUUUAAGAGAUCUGCGUGGAGUACUAAAGAUGCCAUGAUUCAUUCAUAAAUAAGGUUCUUCUGCAGCUGCCGUCAAUUCUAUCGACUUUAAUGAAUUUACUCCAGUUAUGGUUAAAGACCUCCAUCAUUGAUUGUUGAUGCUCAUACUAAUUGUUUGGGCUUAAUCGUGAAGAAUAAUUGCUUUAAUUACUAUGCUUUUUUUUUUCCUUUUUAGUUGUCAGAGUCUCAUUGUUAGGCUUGACCGAGCAAUUGUUUUUUAAAGUUUUUUUUUUCUUUUUGGUGGAAACGAGAAAGAAAUACUGGUGGUAUUAGGCGUAAACAGUAGGUGUACCCAUUCAUCAUGCAUGAUUGUAUAAUGUCACAGGCACAAGAAAGAAGCUUCUUUCUUCCUACUCUCACAACUUUUCAGUGCCCAAUCCUCCUUUCAAGUUCCAAACUCCAUGUGGACUCUUCUAAUUGUGUACUUUAGGUCUCCUUAUUCUUCUCCUGCACUGCAAGUACUUCCACAUAAUAGGCUCUCUUUUGGAGUUCCUUUUGUCAGGCUCCAAGACAAAACCUUGAUCCCAGGAUUAUCUUUGUGGGCCCUGAUGUCCCUGUUGCCAUCGUAUUGGUGGGCCAUCUCCCAUCUCCAUCGCCACCCGACUGGGAGUUGGGGAUGGGUUAUAGAGAGCCUACACAGCUAUUAAUGGCCCCCUUGCGUAUCUUGCCUUUAUAGAUAUGUCUCUUUGGUGGCCGUCUUCAGAGAAAGCUACUCAACCCAACCUGGGUGGUGCAAGUUGCUUAUUUCACAAGAGAAAGGCGAGGCCAUGUCCUUCUCUUACCAGGCAUGGAAAUGUGAAGGGGUUGGGUGUGGACUGGAGAUGCCUCACCUAGAAAAAGACCAGCAAAAGAAUAUGGACACUCCUCCCACCACCACCAUCAUCUGAUGUUUGAAUCGCUGAAACUUAUUCUCUUGAUGAUGCAGGUUUGUGAAAGUUGGUUGGAACACAUUUCUUGGUGGGUUCAAGUCAAGAAACACCGCAGAGGAUCCAUGGUGAAGUGUUCGGUACUUUGUCCAGAUGCCUGGCCUAUCAAAAGCUAAAGGUUGUCAAGUGGAUCCAGAAAUUAAUAGGUGUGGGAAAAGCAACCUAGUUUUGACUAAAAUGUUUGGCACAAUACAAGGUAAAAAGUUAAAGACCAAACUUGUUGGAAUGCAUGCGACUCUGUACUCUACUGAACUUUGCUUAAUAUAUAGCUGGAGUAGUCAUCUAGCGGCUGUCAUGAUUGAAGCAUAGAAUAUGGCUACGGACCAUCAAUGCCCCUUGAAGCUGGCCACUCCAGCACUGUAGAGUCUUCACCGUCAAACUCUUCCGUCAUCCCUCUUUCUGAUGUCAGACUUGCACAAGAUAUGCAUCAGUAUCUUGCAGGCAAAAGAAUAACAGGAAGAUCUUGUAGGUUGAAAGGUCCAUAUCAAGGGAAGGUGAUGAUGGCAUGAAGCUGGACUACAUCAGUUCUUAUCUCCAAAGGUAAUUCUGCCAAGACCUUUUAAAUCCUACCUUUAUAGUUCAUAUACACAUAACUAUCCAUAUAUAUGCUACAGAUGCUAUUGCUGUCAACUUAGGCCCAUGAAAUCACCUGAGGCCAAUUAUAGGUGCUUUAUCUAUAUAAGCACCUCGUGAUACACAUUAUGCUGCAUGGGUGCUCUGUUGUUGUCACUGAAAUGUUAAAAGUCUUCAACAAACAAUCCAGACGUAGCUUUUUCUUGAAUAGUUUUGAGCUGAUCUAUGACAAA